rnacentral:rRNA from 1 species
GAUGAACGCUGACAGAAUGCUUAACACAUGCAAGUCGAUGGGGAAGUGGUGCUUGCACCAUGGCAACCCUGGCGGACGGGUGAGUAACGCGUAAGGGACUUACCUGCAGGACUGGGAUAACAGGGGGAAACUCCUGACAAGACCGGAUAAUGUCAUGGAGCUGCAUGGCUUUAUGAUGAAAGGAGACGCCUGCGGAGAGCCUUGCGUCCUAUUAGCUAGUUGGUGAGGUAAUGGCUCACCAAGGCGAAGAUAGGUAGCCGGCCUGAGAGGGUGGACGGCCACAAGGGGACUGAGAUACGGCGCUUACUCCUACGGGAGGCAGCAGUGGGGAAUAUUGGACAAUGGGGGCAACCCUGAUCCAGCAAUUCUGUGUGCACGAAGAAGGUUUUCGGAUUGUAAAGUGCUUUCAGCAGGGAAGAAGUAAGUGACGGUACCUGCAGAAGAAGCGACGGCUAAAUACGUG